rnacentral:rRNA from 1 species
GAUGAACGCUGGCGGCGUGCCUAAUACAUGCAAGUCGAGCGAACGGACGAGAAGCUUGCUUCUCUGAUGUUAGCGGCGGACGGGUGAGUAACACGUGGAUAACCUACCUAUAAGACUGGGAUAACUUCGGGAAACCUGAUCUAAUAUCGGAUAAUAUUUUGAACCGCAUGGUUCAACAGUGAAAGACGUUCUUGCUGUCACUUAUAGAUGGAUCCGCGCUGCAUUAGCUAGUUGGUAAGGUAACGGCUUACCAAGGCAACGAUGCAUAGCCGACCUGAGAGGGUGAUCGGCCACACUGGAACUGAGACACGGUCCAGACUCCUACGGGAGGCAGCAGUAGGGAAUCUUCCGCAAUGGGCGAAAGCCUGACGGAGCAACGCCGCGUGAGUGAUGAAGGUCUUCGGAUCGUAAAACUCUGUUAUUAGGGAAGAACAUAUGUGUAAGUAACUGUGCACAUCUUGACGGUACCUAAUCAGAAAGCAACGGCUAACUACGUG